rnacentral:lncRNA from 1 species
GAGACUUCAGAAUGUUACGGAUCAUUAAUGCAGCAUCUUGUUUUGAGUAAUGGCGCCUCCUAACAAUCCAGAAUUCUAUCAUACAGGCAAGUUUCUACAUAAAUUAAGAUCCCUGAUGCCUUCUAUGUCGUACUGCCCAACUCAUCCGUGGCUACCUUGCGCAGAGGUCUGCUCAGCAUUUAUUGUCCCUCAGGUGUUUCUGGCCAGCGGCAGAGCCAGUCAAGAUAUGGGAAUCAUAAUGUCACAAUCAACUUCUUCAGAAAUUCCUCCCAAAUGAAUUUAAAGUUGGCAUAUGCUGGAUUCCAGGCUGCACACUGAUGAAGCUGAAACCAUAGCACGUUUUCUGUUUUUCUACACCUUUUGUUUUACCACCUUCUAAUGGAUAACAUUGACUUGGAAUUCACUUCUACAUUCACUUGGAAUGGCCUAUGCCUCUUAACUCAUAUGGAAUUGGUUGUAAUACGUGCUUUGAUUUGAGAGAUGAUUUUGCAUGUUAGCAGAUUUUUGAAUUGUAAACCCGUUAUUCCUUUGCAUAUAGGCUAGUUCUAGGGAUUUGCUUGAGUUUCUUAAAUUUUGCAAGAGUGGAGCUGAUGUUGUGAUAAACUUAUGUUUUCUGUUGAUUCUCUUCAACUUGAAGAAGUGAGUCAUGGAAGAUUUGGGGUUAGAAAAAUCACAACUCUGGGGGAGCUGAAGAAACAAAUCAUUUCUGGCAGAAGAUGUGUUUGUCUUUAUCUACUGAAGGAGGAAUCCAGGUUCUAGCUAGGUACCAAGGUUAAACGCUUCUGGCUGGAACUGAGCAGAAUACAGAAUAAGAAGUACAAAGAGCUGAGGGAAGAGACUAUGCUUUCAUAUAUAUUUUAGGAUUUUCAUUUUCUGUGGGCCAACAGAGGAGGAGUUUACUUUAGAAAAAAAUUACAUGGAUAAUGUGAAGAGUUUUUUAUUACUAAAAUUUCAGAUAUUUGGGCAAAUAUCAUGAGACUUGG